rnacentral:rRNA from 1 species
AUGAACGCUGGCGGCGUGCCUAAUACAUGCAAGUCGAGCGAACAGAUGAGGAGCUUGCUCCUCUGACGUUAGCGGCGGACGGGUGAGUAACACGUGGAUAACCUACCUAUAAGACUGGGAUAACUUCGGGAAACCGGAGCUAAUACCGGAUAAUAUAUUGAACCGCAUGGUUCAAUAGUGAAAGACGGUUUUGCUGUCACUUAUAGAUGGAUCCGCGCCGCAUUAGCUAGUUGGUAAGGUAACGGCUUACCAAGGCAACGAGGCGUAGCCGACCUGAGAGGGUGAUCGGCCACACGGGAACUGAGACACGGUCCAGACUCCUACGGGAGGCAGCAGUAGGGAAUCUUCCGCAGUGGGCGAAAGCCUGACGGAGCAACGCCGCGUGAGUGAUGAAGGUCUUCGGAUCGUAAAACUCUGUUAUGAGGGAAGAACAAAUGUGUAAGUAACUAUGCACGUCUUGACGGUACCUAAUCAGAAAGCCACGGCUAACUACGUG